rnacentral:rRNA from 1 species
UACGGAGGGUGCAAGCGUUGUCCGGAUUUAUUGGGUUUAAAGGGUGCGUAGGCGGCCCGGUAAGUCAGUGGUGAAAGCCUCCAGCUCAACUGGAGAACUGCCAUUGAUACUGCCGGGCUUGAGUACAGACGAGGUUGGCGGAAUUGAUUGUGUAGCGGUGAAAUGCAUAGAUACAAUCAAGAACACCGAUUGCGUAGGCAGCUUACUAGGCUGUAACUGACGCUGAGGCACGAAAGCGUGGGGAGCGAACAGG